rnacentral:rRNA from 1 species
AGUCGACGAGAGGACAUGGGAAGCUUGCUUCCUAUGGAAUCGAGUGGCAAACGGGUGAGUAACGCGUAAACAACCUGCCCUUCGGAUGGGGAUAACAGCCGGAAACGGCUGCUAAUACCGAAUACGAUCUUUUCGUCGCAUGACGAAAAGAAGAAAGGAUGGCCUCUAUACAAAGCUAUCGCCGAAGGAGGGGUUUGCGUCUGAUUAGCUGGUUGGAGGGGUAACGGCCCAACAAGGCGAUGAUCAGUAGCCGGUCUGAGAGGAUGAACGGCCACAUUGGGACUGAGACACGGCCCAGACUCCUACGGGAGGCAGCAGUGGGGAAUCUUCCGCAAUGGACGAAAGUCUGACGGAGCAACGCCGCGUGAGUGAAGAAGGUCUUCGGAUUGUAAAGCUCUGUUAUACGGGACGAAAAAGACGGAUGCCAACAGUAUCCGUCCGUGACGGUACCGUAAGAGAAAGCCACGGCUAACUACGUGCCAGCAGCCGCGGUAAUACGUAGGUGGCAAGCGUUGUCCGGAAUUAUUGGGCGUAAAGGGCGCGCAGGCGGUUCGGUAAGUCUGUCUUAAAAGUGCGGGGCUUAACCCCGUGAGGGGACGGAAACUGUCGAACUUGAGUGUCGGAGAGGAAAGCGGAAUUCCUAGUGUAGCGGUGAAAUGCGUAGAUAUUAGGAGGAACACCGGUGGC